UGCCUUGAUGUUGUCUAUAACAUCAAAUCCACGCAGAGAGUUGUUGUUUGGAGCAGCGGUCUUCUCUCCAGUGAAUGUUGGAGUGUCAUCUAGCAGCACCGAGCCAUCACAACCCUGCAUUGUCAGAAUACUGAAGGCUAAUUAAUGGAAAACUCUACAGUCAGAAAGUGCAUGCAAGUGGAGAGGAUCAGAUGGGGGCAUGCCAACAUGACAAGAUACCCUUUGUGGUUUGGUCUUUUGAUCCCUCCACUAAGAUGUAACCAUCUAGAAGAAUUACUGAAAAACCAAAUGGAUAGCUCUGGAGACUCGAGAAUAUGGUGGUAUCUUUCACAAGCCGCAUCCAAAGACUAGUGACUCAGAAAAUUGUGCUCAAUCCUUGCAUGGAUGGUGCUUGCCAGCCAAUUGAUGUAUGUUGACUCGACUGCAUGCAUACACAGAAGUAAGAUGCAGAGUGGGAGCAGUUGGGCUGGUGGUGAGUGGUGAGCACAAGCAGAAACGAAAGCAAAGCAAAGGAAAUGGCAGCCAUCUCUUUCAAAGAAUAUUCAGUGCCUUGCCUUGUAUUGUAUUUGCAGCAUCAAAGCCACUCACUACUUAUUUUAAUUAUCUUGGAUUCUGCAAAGAAACAAGAUUUUGACGAAGCUGAUUGUGCCAGACGGCCUGUUUGUGGAUAAAACGGUACCUUGUAUGAAGAAUAAUCUUCUUCAUGACUUGGGGGGGUUCGAUCUGCGUGGUCUAAUAAUGGCAGUAUCGCAAUCAGUAUCACUGUUUAAUUGAUUA